UACAGAGGUGGCAAGCGUUGUUCGGAAUUACUGGGCGUAAAGGGCGCGUAGGCGGCCUUCUAAGUCAGACGUGAAAUCCCCCGGCUUAACCUGGGAACUGCGUCUGAUACUGGGAGGCUUGAGUGCGGGAGAGGGAUGCGGAAUUCCAGGUGUAGCGGUGAAAUGCGUAGAUAUCUGGAGGAACACCUGCGGCGAAGGCGGGUUGCUGGGCUGACACUGACGCUGAGGCGCGAAAGCUAGGGGAGCGAACGGG
rnacentral:rRNA from 1 species